GACGAACCGUACGAACGUUAUUCGGAAUCACUGGGCUUAAAGGGUGCGUAGGCGGGCGCGACAAGUUGGGUGUGAAAUCCCUCGGCUCAACCGAGGAACUGCGCCCAAAACUGUCGUGCUCGAGGGAGACAGAGGUGAGCGGAACUUAGGGUGGAGCGGUGAAAUGCGUUGAUAUCCUAAGGAACACCGGUGGCGAAAGCGGCUCACUGGGUCUCUUCUGACGCUGAGGCACGAAAGCUAGGGUAGCGAACGGG
rnacentral:rRNA from 1 species